CCGCGGUCGUCCCGGAGCACUCGAGCGGAACCUAGAGCCCGCGGUCUAAGUUCCUGCCCGAGCCUGAAACACGGCGAGCCAGUUCUUGGGCGCAUGCUCGCUUUAUGCUACGGCCCUCACCUGGCGCAGGCACAGGAGCGGCCCACAGCACUGUCCUCCCAGCUCCGGGUCCCCCGGCCCCCGCCGCUUCAGAGAUUGUUGAACGGUGUUGGCCUCGAGUCUUGUCGACUUCGCGCCUCCCCCGCGACUCAGAGACAGAGUGACCUUGGCCGUGGUACAAACCGACCUAGGAACCAGAUGAGCAGAGACAUCUGCGUCCACACCUGGCCAUGCUCCUAUUAUUUAGAACUUGAGAAGCAAUGGGUCCCUGGAAAACUUUCAUUAACUUCUCUCUCACUAAAAUUUAUGACUGAUAAAACUAGAGAAAUUCUUGUCAACUUUCCCCUUUCUAGUAUAAUUGAGAUCAAGAAAGAAGCUUCUUAUUUUAUCUUCAGUUCUAUUACCAUCCUGGAAAAGGACCACAACAAGCACUGGUUCAGUUCCUUGCAGCCUAGUCGAAAUGUCGUUUUCAGCAUCAUCGAGCAUUUCUGGAGAGAGAUGCUGUUGUCCCAGUCAGGAGCUCCUGUUGAGAAAUCAUCCUCCCCCAUGACCAAGGGGAAGGAGUUGACUGGUCUGAUGGCCUGUACCCAGAAGUGUCUGGAAGACACAGCCAGAGUCCUCCACCAUCAGGGUGAGCAGUUUGACAGUAUCUCGAGAGGCCUGGACAAGAUGGAAUCUGACCUGGAUGUGGCUGACAGGCUGCUGACAGAACUGGAGUCUCCUUCUUGGUGGCCCUUUAGCUUCAAGCUUUGGAAGAUGCCAUCAGAAACAAAGCCCAAGUUGGACGCCUCAAUGGCUAGUUCCAAAGCUUUGGGAAAAGAAGGGAUAGUAAUCAAAAUUCCUGCUGUUAUUUCCCAAAAAACAGAAUCUCAUGUUAAACCAGGAAGGCUCACCGUCCUUGUUUCUGGGUUGGAAAUCCACAACUCAGAUUCUUUGCUCAUGCACAGAUUUGAAAGAGAAGAAGUAGAUGACAUCAAGGUUCAUACACCUUAUGAAAUUAGCAUCCGCCAGCGGUUCAUUGGGAAGCCAGAUAUAGCUUAUCGUUUGAUAUCUGCCAAGAUGCCGGAGGUUAUCCCCAUUUUGGAAGUGCAGUUCAGCAGGAAGAUCGAGUUUUUAGAAGAUGCCUUGAUGCUCAGAAGCACUAGAACCUCUCCCCUAGCAGAGAAGGGCUACUCAGUCUGGCAUGCAGCAUCUGGGCUGAUGGACCGUGCCAUGCACUGUGAGCCCUCCUCAGGGAGCCAGGAAGGGAGGCCACUUCAGCUACAGAUGAGCGAACCGUUAAUUUCCGAGGGGGACAGCCAGGAACUGAGACAGAUCCUGAGGAAACUAAAAGAUCUCGCGUUGGAUGCCGAAUCAGAGCUGGAGAGACAGGAUGAGGCCUUGGAUGGCAUCACUGCAGCUGUGGACCGGACAACCUUAACCAUUGACAAGCAUAAUCGACGAGUGAAAAAACUGACCUAGAAGGACAAGAAAGCAUAGAUGUGACUGCUUUUGUUGAGACUCACUCCUCUGAGAUCCAUCCUAAUCCAAGGUCAUCUUAUCUUGAGAUCCUUACCUUGAUGACAUCUACAGAGACCCCAUUUCCAGAUAAGGUCACAUUCAGAGGUUCCCAGUGAGUAUGAAUUUUGGGUCACCUACGGAUGCCCAGCCUUGUCAUAGCUGACCCAUUCCAAAAUGACACGGAAAGUAGCACUUUUAGAAAGUAAUGUCCAUAAGGGUCUUUCAAUUCUUUUCUGUUUUGCAGUUUGGUAUAUUAUAUUCCUAGUCUCUGUUUUUCUUACUUGGUUUGUACUUACUAACCUCCAAAAUGAGAAGUGCACCUGUUCUUUCAAGGUUUCUCAUGCUAAUGCAGCAUGUGAGCAGCUUGCUCUUGACCUUUCCUGGCACAUCAAGUGAUGGAGCUCUUGGAGCUCAUGUUCAUUCCAGGGGGUCUGAGCCCCAUGCAGCCCCUUCUAGUGCUUGAUGAUAGGGAGGUCGGGGAGGACACGGCAGGUGUGAAGAUGUGUCAUCAAGGACAAUUAUUGAGAGCUCAUGCCUAGAGGCAGCGGCAGCUGGAUCACGUCCCUAGGGAACUUGGAGGAAUGCUAGAGGAAAGGCAGCUCGUACCCUGGGCACAGGGCAAGUGCAGGUGUGCAGGCUGUGCCCAAAUACUGUAGCUUCUCACAGCAGCCCAUGAAGAGUGAGUUCCCCUGAGGUAGAGUAUGUGGUUCUCACCGUGGCCACACACUGGACUCAUGCCAGGAACUCAGAAGGUACAAACACACACGCACACACGCGUGCACUGACCCCAGACCCCUCAGUCAGAAUCUCUGAGGGUAUACACAUUACCCAAAUGUUUCUAAUGAGCAGAAGGGGAAGAUCCACAGGCCAGGUGACUUACUGCCACCAGACCUGCUCUCUCCAUCUAGCUCUAGAGAGCCCUGAACAGCUGAAAUGAAAACGAAUCUGUCCCACUCAUGAUGCUGUUCUAAAUCCAGGUGGGCACUGCUCAAGAGUUCCCAGUGCAGCCUCCAGCGGCCGGCCAGCCUCUGCUUGUCCUGAAAACAGAUACCACCCAGCACUCAUGUGGCAUCAGGGCCGUACACACCUCGGCGGCUAACAGGCCUCUGGAAAGCAGGGGGCCAGGACUCUGUUGGUGAUCCCUCGCCAGGAGCAAGCCCUGAGCUGUCUGGGCCUCACGCUCUCCUAAUCCACCACCUGUGGAUGCAUAAAAUGCAGACACUCUGGGCAUGAAGGUGUAUGGUACAGAAGACAUUGUACUAUUAGAGAAUUAUUCUCCGGGCCUUUUCUCUCCCAUGAAUAGUUAAAUUGAUAGAGACUAUGGUCUGUUUAUGUGGAGACUUAGAGUGUUAAAAAAAAAAAAAAAAAAAAAAAGGCCAUCAAAGGCCAUUUUAUGCUAUUUUUUUUAACCUUGGCCCCAGAGUUAACUUUUUAAACCUUAACCCCUUCCAGUAGCAGAAAAUCCCUGUGCCAAACUGUUAGUCACCAAGGCUGAAACAAAAUCGCCAGGAACCGUAUAAAACCAGGCACUGAUUCCCACAGCACACUGAUUCCCCACCCCAGGUGCGCUAGUUCCACCUCCCAUUGCUCCCUCAACUUACGGUGCACUGACUCUGCCUCCACACUUUAGACAUGGGAAGGACACGAGGGGGAACAGAUAUUGUGAUGCUCAUAGAAGCAGUACCAGGGGAAGGAGAUGAGCAGGUAGGCUGGUGAUCUCUCCUGCCAUCCA